GACGAACCGUGCAAACGUUGUUCGGAAUCACUGGGCUUAAAGGGCGCGUAGGCGGGCAAGCAAGUCCGGGGUGAAAUCUUUCGGCCCAACCGGAAAAGGGCCUUGGAUACUGCUUGUCUAGAGGGAGGCAGGGGCAGACGGAACUUCCGGUGGAGCGGUGAAAUGCGUUGAUAUCGGAAGGAACGCCGGUGGCGAAAGCGGUCUGCUGGACCUCUACUGACGCUGAGGCGCGAAAGCCAGGGGAGCGAACGGG
rnacentral:rRNA from 1 species